GCUGGAGGCUGCGCGGAACCGCUGCGUGCCGCCGCGGGUGCGGGCCCGCGGGCUACGGGAGGCGUGAGCCGCUCCCGGUGCCGUGACGGUGAGCGGCGGGAUUGUGACGCGCAGCCGGGGAGGGCGCCGGGCUGGACGUGGGCGCAUGCACCCGGGCCGGCACUGGGCGGGCUCGUCGCGGCCGUUGCAGCGGUUGGAGAGCGUUGCUGCCAGCCGCCUGCAGCGGGAAGUGUGAGGAGAUGCUCACGUAGGAGAGUGACAGGAGCUGUUGUGCAUGCCCCAGCACUGAACUGCCUUCUCAGGGACCCUGGCUCUGGGACUGGCUAUGGGAGAUUGGAUGACUGUUACAGAUCCAGUUCUGUGUACAGAAAACAAAAAUCUCUCUCAAUAUACCUCAGAAACAAAGAUGUCUCCGUCAAGUUUAUACUCGCAGCAAGUACUGUGCUCUGCAACACCUUUAUCCAAGAAUGUGCAUGGUGUUUUCAGUGCCUUCUGCACAGGAGAGAACAUCGAACAGAGUAUUUCGUAUCUUGAUCAGGAACUGACUACCUUCGGUUUCCCUUCCUUGUAUGAAGAAUCCAAAAGUAAGGAGGCGAAGCGAGAGUUAAGUAUAGUUGCUCUUCUGAACUGCAUGAAUGAGCUGCUUGUGCUUCAGCGGAAGAACCUCCUGGCCCAAGAAAGCGUGGAGACACAGAAUCUGAAGCUGGGCAGUGACAUGGACCACCUGCAGAGCUGCUACGCCAAACUUAAGGAACAGUUGGAGGCCUCCAGGCGAGAGAUGAUCAGCCUUCAGGAGAGAGACAGACAGCUACAGUGCAAAAACAGGAAUUUGCAUCAGCUCCUGAAAAACGAGAAAGAAGAGGUAAGCUGUCUGUUCUGUGUGUGAGGUGAACUGUUGGCUUUUGAAAUGUAACGUCACAUAAUGGUCAAUUCUCUUUUAAAAAGAAGUGUGACAUCCUGUGUCACACUGGCAUGGUGGGUGGCAGUCCCAUGCCUGUCCUCCCGCUGCCCCAAGACCAGGGAACAGGGUGGGAAGGAAUCUCACCUUCUGGGAUCGGCAACAAGUGGGAAAGUCAGGCUGUGGAUUGACCGGGUACCUGAGUCCAUCGACCCAGGGGAGGCAGAUCUGAGUGCAUUUCCUAAAGCUUACAAGACUCUUUCAACUUCACAUAAAGAGAGAACAUGGUAAUGUAUUAUAUAUAUUAUAAUACAUAUAUUAUAACAUGUUAUAUAUUAUAUAAUAUAUAACCUAUAGAAAGACACUAUAU
rnacentral:lncRNA from 1 species